rnacentral:rRNA from 1 species
CACGGGGGCAACCCUGGUGGCGAGUGGCGAACGGGUGUGUAAUGCAUCGGAACGUGCCCAGUUGUGGGGGAUAACCCGGCGAAAGCCGGGCUAAUACCGCAUACGACCUACGGGUGAAAGCGGGGGACCGCAAGGCCUCGCGCUACUGGAGCGGCCGAUGUCUGAUUAGCUAGUUGGCGGGGUAAGAGCCCACCAAGGCGACGAUCAGUAGCUGGUCUGAGAGGACGACCAGCCACACUGGGACUGAGACACGGCCCAGACUCCUACGGGAGGCAGCAGUGGGGAAUUUUGGACAAUGGGCGCAAGCCUGAUCCAGCCAUGCCGCGUGCGGGAAGAAGGCCUUCGGG